UACGGAGGAUCCAAGCGUUAUCCGGAAUCAUUGGGUUUAAAGGGUCCGUAGGCGGUUUAAUAAGUCAGUGGUGAGAGCCCAUCGCUCAACGGUGGAACGGCCAUUGAUACUGUUAAACUUGAAUUAUUAGGAAGUAACUAGAAUAUGUAGUGUAGCGGUGAAAUGCUUAGAGAUUACAUGGAAUACCAAUUGCGAAGGCAGGUUACUACUAAUGGAUUGACGCUGAUGGACGAAAGCGUGGGUAGCGAACAGG
rnacentral:rRNA from 1 species